rnacentral:rRNA from 1 species
UACGGAGGGUGCGAGCGUUAUUCGGAAUUACUGGGCGUAAAGCGCACGUAGGCGGUUUAGUAAGUCUGGUGUGAAAUCCCUCGACUUAAUCGAGGAAGUGCAUUGGAUACUGCUAGACUUGAGUAUCGGAGGGGAGAACGGAAUUCCAGGUGUAGAGGUGAAAUUCGUAGAUAUCUGGAGGAACAACGGUGGCGAAGGCGGUUCUCUGGACGAUUACUGACGCUGAGGUGCGAAAGUGUGGGGAGCAAACAGG